CUUUUACAUCAUGUCUUGGGU
rnacentral:snRNA from 1 species